rnacentral:rRNA from 1 species
UAAACUAGGAUUAGAUACCCUAUUAUUUUUGAAUGUUAAUUUAUUUGCUUGAGUAGUAUUAGUUAUGUUCUUGAAACUUAAAGAAUUUGGCGGUAUCUCAUUCCGUCCAGAGGAAUCUGUCUCGUUAUCGAUAGUCCGCGUUGGACCUUACUUAGAUUGCUUGGGUUUGUAUACCGCCGUUUAUUGAUUAUCUUUUUAGAGUUAUUAAUUUUCUAGUUUCUUUAUUUUGAUUUAUUUCAGGUCAAGGUGCAGCUUGUUUCUUAGUGGAAUGAUGGAUUACAUUAUGAUUUGUUUUUGGAUUGUCGAUUUUAAUAUUGGCAUGAAAUUGGAUUUGGUUGUAAUUAUUUGUAGAUUGUUAUUAUGAUAACUGGUUCUGGGAUAUGUACACAUCGCCCGUCGCUCUCGUUUAUUUAAUGAGAUAAGUCGUAACAUAGUA